AAGUUGUAAUAAAGUUUCCGUAGGUAAACCUGCAGAAAGAUUAUUAUCUAGCCUAGGCCGCUGCUUAUUAGUGUGCUGCUUAUGCCUAUUACCUUAACUAUGCGCACCUUUAUUAUUCUCUUAGCAGUUUGCUACUGCUAGGAACUCUCUAAACCCUUAUGUAAUAUAGUACACUUCUAAAAACAAACCUAAUUAUUUA
rnacentral:misc_RNA from 1 species